rnacentral:misc_RNA from 1 species
AUACUGCGUGAGGGAUAGAAGUGAAAAGCCCGCAGACCAAUGCAGUGAUAACGAAAUUGGUCGAGGACUUGUAACGGAUAGCCCGGUUCGCC